rnacentral:rRNA from 1 species
UACGUAGGGUGCAAGCGUUUGUCCGGAAUUAUUGGGCGUAAAGAGCUCGUAGGCGGUUUGUUGCGUCGGCUGUGAAAUCCCGAGGCUCAACCUCGGGUCUGCAGUCGAUACGAGCAAACUAGAGUGUUGCAGGGGAGACUGGAAUUCCUGGUGUAGCGGUGAAAUGCGCAGAUAUCAGGAGGAACACCGGUGGCGAAGGCGGGUCUCUGGGCCGAUACUGACGCUGGAGGAGCGAAAGCGUUGGGGAGCGAACAGG